UGUCGGAAUUAUUGGGCGUAAGAGCUCGUAGGCGGCUUGUCGCGUCUGCUGUGAAAACCAGAGGCUCAACCUCUGGCCUGCAGUGGGUACGGGCAAGCUAGAGUGCGGUAGGGGAGAUUGGAAUUCCUGGUGUAGCGGUGGAAUGCGCAGAUAUCAGGAGGAACACCGAUGGCGAAGGCAGAUCUCUGGGCCGUAACUGACGCUGAGGAGCGAAAGCAUGGGGAGCGAACAGGAUUAGAUACCCUGGUAGUCCAUGCCGUAAACGUUGGGAACUAGAUGUAGGGCCUGUUCCACGGGUUCUGUGUCGUAGCUAACGCAUUAAGUUCCCCGCCUGGGGAGUACGGCCGCAAGGCUAAAACUCAAAGGAAUUGACGGGGGCCCGCACAAGCGGCGGAGCAUGCGGAUUAAUUCGAUGCAACGCGAAGAACCUUACCAAGGCUUGACAUAUACGAGAACACUGUAGAGAUACAGGACUCUUUGGACACUCGUAAACAGGUGGUGCAUGGUUGUCGUCAGCUCGUGUCGUGAGAUGUUCGGUUAAGUCCGGCAACGAGCGCAACCCUCGUCCUAUGUUGCCAGCACGUGAUGGUGGGAACUCAUGGGAUACUGCCGUGGUCAACACGGAGGAAGGUGGGGAUGACGUCAAAUCAUCAUGCCCCUUAUGUCUUGGGCUUCACGCAUGCUACAAUGGCCGAUACAAAGGGUUGCGAUACCGUGAGGUGGAGCGAAUCCCAAAAAGUCGGUCUCAGUUCGGAUUGGGGUCUGCAACUCGACCCCAUGAAGUCGGAGUCGCUAGUAAUCGCAGAUCAGCAACGCUGCGGUGAAUACGUUCCCGGGCCUUGUACACACCGCCCGUCAAGUCAUGAAAGUCGGUAACACCCGAAGCCGGUGGCCUA
rnacentral:rRNA from 1 species